CCUACGGGAGGCAGCAGUGGGGAAUAUUGGACAAUGGGCGAAAGCCUGAUCCAGCCAUGCCGCGUGUGUGAAGAAGGCCUUCGGGUUGUAAAGCACUUUCAGUGGGGAAGAAAGCCUUGGGGCUAAUACCCUCGAGGAAGGACAUCACCCACAGAAGAAGCACCGGCUAACUCCGUGCCAGCAGCCGCGGUAAUACGGAGGGUGCGAGGGUUAAUCGGAAUUACGGGGCGUAAAGCGCGCGUAGGCGGUCUGAUAAGCCGGUUGUGAAAGCCCCGGGCUCAACCUGGGAACGGCAUCCGGAACUGUCAGGCUAGAGUGCAGGAGAGGAAGGUAGAAUUCCCGGUGUAGCGGUGAAAUGCGUAGAGAUCGGGAGGAAUACCAGUGGCGAAGGCGGCCUUCUGGACUGACACUGACGCUGAGGUGCGAAAGCGUGGGUAGCAAACAGGAUUAGAUACCCUUGUAGU
rnacentral:rRNA from 1 species